rnacentral:rRNA from 1 species
GACGAACGCUGGCGGCGUGCCUAACACAUGCAAGUCGAACGGAAAGGCCCUGCUUUUGUGGGGUGCUCGAGUGGCGAACGGGUGAGUAACACGUGAGUAACCUGCCCUUGACUUUGGGAUAACUUCAGGAAACUGGGGCUAAUACCGGAUAGGAGCUCCUGCUGCAUGGUGGGGGUUGGAAAGUUUCGGCGGUUGGGGAUGGACUCGCGGCUUAUCAGCUUGUUGGUGGGGUAGUGGCUUACCAAGGCUUUGACGGGUAGCCGGCCUGGGAGGGUGACCGGCCACAUUGGGACUGAGAUACGGCCCAGACUCCUACGGGAGGCAGCAGUGGGGAAUAUUGCACAAUGGGCGGAAGCCUGAUGCAGCAACGCCGCGUGCGGGAUGACGGCCUUCGGGUUGUGAACCGCUUUCGCCUGUGACGAAGCGUGAGUGACGGUAAUGGGUAAAGAAGCACCGGCUAACUACGUG